CCAGCGAAGGCUUUGCAAUAUCUGCAUCACCUCGGGAUUGUACAUAGGGAUGUGAAACCGGCAAAUAUUCUUCUGGACAAAGAUCUUUAUCCACACUUAGCAGACUUUGGUUUGGCUGAGUACAAGAAAGAUCUUAAAGGAGUUUCUAUUGGGAAUUGGAGGUCAUCUGGAAAACCUGCUGGUGGUUUCCACAAAAAAAAGCCAUGGUUGGCACACUCAUUUACAUGGCACCUGAAAUACUAAAGAAGGAAAUACAUACAGAAAAAUCAGAUGUCUA